CCCUUAGAGUUUGAUCCUGGCUCAGGACGAACGCUGGCGGCGUGCCUAACACAUGCAAGUCGAACGGGACCGGGGGCAACUUCGGUUCAGUGGCGGACGGGUGCGUAACACGUGAGGAACAUGACCUUCGGCGGGGGAUAGCCGGCCCAACGGCCGGGUAAUACCGCGUACGACCUUUCGGGGACAUCCCUGGAUGGUGAAAGCAGCAAUGCGCCGAUGGAGUGCCUCGCGGCCUAUCAGCUAGUUGGUGGGGUAACGGCCUACCAAGGCAACGACGGGUAGCUGGUCUGAGAGGAUGGCCAGCCACAUUGGGACUGAGACACGGCCCAGACUCCUACGGGAGGCAGCAGUGGGGAAUAUUGCGCAAUGGACGAAAGUCUGACGCAGCGACGCCGCGUGUGGGAUGACGGUCUUCGGAUUGUAAACCACUGUCGGGAGGGACGAAUACGCCGCAAGGCGGGUGACGGUACCUCCAAAGGAAGCACCGGCUAACUCCGUGCCAGCAGCCGCGGUAAUACGGAGGGUGCGAGCGUUGUCCGGAAUCACUGGGCGUAAAGGGCGCGUAGGCGGCC
rnacentral:rRNA from 1 species